AUCAGACAGAGGGUUUGAUCAUGGCUCAGAUUGAACGCUGGCGGGAUGCUUUACACAUGCAAGCUGAACGGCAGCACGGACUUCGGUCUGGUGGCGAGUGGCGAACGGGUGAGUAAUGUAUCGGAACGUGCCUAGUAGCGGGGGAUAACUACGCGAAAGCGUAGCUAAGUCACCGCAUACGCCUUCGGGGGAAAGCGGGGGACCUUCGGGCCUCGCACUAUUAGAGCGGCCGGAUAUCGGAUUAGCUAGUUGGUGGGGUAACGGCUCACCAAGGCGACGAUCCGUAGCUGGUUUGAGAGGACGACCAGCCACACUGGGACUGAGACACGGCCCAGACUCUACGGGAGGCAGCAGUGGGGAAUUUUGGACAAUGGGGGAAACCCUGAUCCAGCCAUCCCGCGUAAAAUACGGGUUACCCUUCCGGCGAAAGCACUUUUUUGGCAGGAAAGAAACGGCACGGGAUAAUGUCACUCCCCGUGCAACUGACGGCAGGCCUGCAGAAUAAGCACCGGCUAACUACGUGCCAGCAGCGCGGUAACAUGUAGGCGCAAGCGUUAAUCGGUCUGCUGGGCGGUGCCGUGCGCAGGCGGUUCGGUUGUUAGAUGUGAAAUCCCAGAGUCCCUUUGGAACUGCAUUUUUAACUACCGAGCUAGAGUGUGUCAGAGGGAGUGUGGAAUUCCGCGUGUAGCAGUGAAAUGCGUAGAUAUGCGAGUAAACACCGAUGGCGAAGGCAGCCUCCUGAUAACACUGACGCUCAUGCACGAAAGCGUGGGGAGCAACAGAUUGAUAAUUCUGGUAGUCCACGCCCCUAAACGAUGUCAACGAAUGUUGGGGCCUUCGCCUGGUAGCAGUGAGUUUGACAAGCGACCGCCUGGGAUACGGUCGCAAGAUUAAAAUCAAAGAACUGAUGGACCGCACAAGCGGUGGAUGAUGUGGAUUAUCUGAUGCAACGCGAAAAACCUACCUACCUUUGACAUGUCUGGAAUCCCGAAGAGAUUUGGAGUGCUCGCAAGAGAACCGGAAACACAGUGCCGCAUGGCUGUCGUCAGCUCGUGUCGUGAGAUGUUGGGUUAGAAGUCCCGCAACGAGCGCAACCUGUCAUUAGUUGCUACGAAAGGGCACUUCAUCGAGACUGCCGGUGACAAACCGAGGAAGGUGGGGAUGACGUCAAGUCCGCGGCUCUUAUGGGUAGGGCUUCACACGUCAUACAAUGGUCGGGACAGAGGGUCGCCAACCCGAGGGGAGCCAAUCCCAGAAACCCGAUCGUGGUCUGAUUCCAGUCUGCAACUCGACUGCGUGAAGUCGGAAUCGCUAGUAAUCGCGGAUCAGCAUGUCGCGGUGAAUACGUUCCCGGUCUUGUACACACCGCCCGUCACACCAUGGGAGUGGGUUUUACCAGAAGUAGUUAGCCUAACCGUAUGAGGGCGAUUACCACGGUAGGAUUCACACUCCGGGUGAAGUCGUAACAAGGUAA
rnacentral:rRNA from 1 species